rnacentral:rRNA from 1 species
CCUACGGGAGGCAGCAGUGAGGAAUAUUGGUCAAUGGUCGGGAGACUGAACCAGCCAAGCCGCGUGAGGGAGGAAGGUACAGAGUAUCGUAAACCUCUUUUGUCAGGGAACAAAGGCGGGGACGUGUCCCCGGAUGAGUGUACCUGAAGAAAAAGCAUCGGCUAACUCCGUGCCAGCAGCCGCGGUAAUACGGAGGAUGCGAGCGUUAUCCGGAUUUAUGGGGUGUAAAGGGUGCGCAGGCGGGCUGUUAAGUCAGCGGUCAAAGCCCGGGGCUCAACCCCGGCCCGCCGUUGAAACUGGCAGUCUCGAGUUGGAGAGAAGUAUGCGGAAUGCGCGGUGUAGCGGUGAAAUGCAUAGAUAUCGCGCAGAACUCCGAUUGCGAAGGCAGCAUGCCGGCUCCACACUGACGCUGAGGCACGAAAGCGUGGGUAUCGAACAGGAUUAGAUACCCUUGUAGUC